AUUGAACGCUGGCGGCAUGCCUUACACAUGCAAGUCGAACGGCAGCACGGGAGCAAUCCUGGUGGCGAGUGGCGAACGGGUGAGUAAUAUAUCGGAACGUGCCCAGUCGUGGGGGAUAACGCAGCGAAAGCUGUGCUAAUACCGCAUGAGAUCUAUGGAUGAAAGCGGGGGAUCGCAAGACAUCGCGCGAUUGGAGCGGCCGAUAUCAGAUUAGGUAGUUGGUGGGGUAAAGGCUCACCAAGCCGACGAUCUGUAGCUGGUCUGAGAGGACGACCAGCCACACGGGAACUGGGACACGGUCCAGACUCCUACGGGAGGCAGCAGUGGGGAAUUUUGGACAAUGGGCGCAAGCCUGAUCCAGCAAUGCCGCGUGCAGGAUGAAGGCCUUCGGGUUGUAAACUGCUUUUGUACGGAACGAAAAGGCUCUGGUUAAUACCUGGGGCACAUGACGGUACCGUAAGAAUAAGCACCGGCUAACUACGUGCCAGCAGCCGCAGUAAAAC
rnacentral:rRNA from 1 species